AUUGAACGCUGGCGGCAAGCCUAACACAUGCAAGUCGAACGAGUGGCGGACGGGUGAGUAAUGUCGGGGAAACUGCCUGAUGGAGGGGGAUAACUACUGGAAACGGUAGCUAAUACCGCAUACCAUCGGAUGUGCCCAGAUGGGAUUAGCUAGUAGGUGGGGUAAAGGCUCACCUAGGCGACGAUCCCUAGCUUGUCUGAGAGGAUGACAAGCCACACUGGAACUGAUACGUGAUCCCGGCGCCUACGGGAGGCAGCAGUGGGGAAUAUUGCACAAUGUGCGCAAGCCUGAUGCAGCCAUGCCGCUGUUAUGAAGAAGGCCUUCGGGUUGUAAAGUACUUUCAGCGGGGAGGCGUUACCCGCAGAAGACGCACCGGCUAACUCCGUGCCAGCAGCCGCGGUAAUUC
rnacentral:rRNA from 1 species